AAUGAACUGAGAGGAAAAGGAGGAGGAGCUGAUUUCAUGCAGUCAUACAUGCCUACUCUGCUGCCAAUUUGAAAAUGGAUCCCCAAACUGUUUUCCACAGCAGGAGGAUACAAUGAUAAGCACGUCAGAAAUUUUGACGUACUUAGAAAUCUUAAUAUUGCUGGCUACAAAAAAGCAUAAAACAGAUAAAUCCACAAUGCAGAGCACUCAGAGUGUGUCUGGGCGAUGCAUUGACUUACAGCCAUGCAGACUGAAGCAGGUUGUCAGAUUUGAAGCUGCAAGGGGUAGACAGUAAAGUUUGCCCAGCCAUGCCUACGGGUUUGCCAUCUAUCAUCUCCAUCUGGAGCUACCUUUGACCACUCAAAAAAAUAGUAAGCAUUAGAUCAGGUUGUCCAGAAAUCUGUUUUACAGCCUCCCCUUCUUCUUCAGUAAUAUGCCUAAGUGUUAACAAAGCCUUUACCUAAUGCUAAGGCUUAGCUUUUGUUUUAGUAAGAACAGGCAUUUAUCAUG